UUUUAAAAUGAUGAUAAACUUUACCCAGCUCAUCUGAAUAAUUGCUGUGUAGAUAACUUUACAUGCAUCACAAUCUGAUUAAAA
rnacentral:snoRNA from 1 species